UCUAAUACCGGAUAUGACUCCUCAUCGCAUGGUGGGGGGUGGAAAGCUUUAUUGUGGUUUUGGAUGGACUCGCGGCCUAUCAGCUUGUUGGUGAGGUAAUGGCUUACCAAGGCGACGACGGG
rnacentral:rRNA from 1 species